rnacentral:misc_RNA from 1 species
AAGUCGUAACAAGGUUUCCGUAGGUGAACCUGCGGAAGGAUCACUAGAGAGAACCUGCCCUUUGGGUAGAUCUCCCACCCUUUGUUUGUUAUACACUGUUGCUUUGGCGGGCCUGCCUCGGCUGCCGGCGCAAGCUGGCUCGCGCCCGCCAGAGACCAAAACUCUGAAUGUUGUCGUCUGAGAAAUAUAUAAUAAGUUAAAACUUUCAACAACGGAUCUCUUGGUUCUG